UACGAAGGGUGCAAGCGUUACUCGGAAUUACUGGGCGUAAAGCGUGCGUAGGUGGUUUGUUAAGUCUGAUGUGAAAGCCCUGGGCUCAACCUGGGAACUGCAUCUGAUACUGGUGGGCUUGAAUUCGGGAGAGGGAUGCAGAAUUCCAGGUGUAGCGGUGAAAUGCGUAGAUAUCUGGAGGAAUACCGGUGGCGAAGGCGGCAUCCUGGACCGACAUUGACGCUGAGGAGCGAAAGCUAGGGGAGCAAACGGG
rnacentral:rRNA from 1 species